ensembl:misc_RNA Metazoa_SRP Metazoan signal recognition particle RNA
ACUAAGAGGUUCCUAUGGUAUGCAUUUGUAGUCUGGCUACUUGGGAAGCUAAGGCAGGAGGAUCACUUGAGCCCAGGAGUUCUGGGCUGUAGUGCGCUAUGCCAGUUGGCUGUCCACACGAAGUUCAGCAUCAAUAUGGUGACCUCCUGGAAUCAGGGGACCACCAGCUUGCCUAAGGAGGGGUUGACCAGCCCAGGUUGGAAACGGAGCAGGUCAAAACUCCUGUGCUGAGCAGUAGUGGGACUGCGCCUGUGCAUAGUCACUGUACUGCAGUCUGGGCAACGUAGCAAGACUUCUUCCUU